rnacentral:rRNA from 1 species
GGGGAAUCUUGCACAAUGGGCGAAAGCCUGAUGCAGCGACGCCGCGUGAGCGAUGAAGGCCUUCGGGUUGUAAAGCUCUGUGGGGAGGGACGAAUAUGCGCUGGCUAAUAUCCAGUGUGAUGACGGUACCUCCUUAGCAAGCACCGGCUAACUCUGUGCCAGCAGCCGCGGUAAGACAGAGGGUGCAAACGUUGUUCGGAAUUACUGGGCGUAAAGCGCGUGUAGGCGGCUACGUAAGUCGGACGUGAAAUCCCACGGCUCAACCGUGGAAGAGCGCUCGAAACUGUGUAGCUUGAGUCCUGGAGAGGAAAGCGGAAUACUUGGUGUAGAGGUGAAAUUCGUAGAUAUCAGGUAGAACACCAGUGGCGAAGGCGGCUUUCUGGACAGUGACUGACGCUGAGACGCGAAAGCGUGGGGAGCAAAC